UACGUAGGGUGCAAGCGUUGUCCGGAAUUAUUGGGCGUAAAGAGCUCGUAGGCGGUCUGUCACGUCGGCUGUGAAAUCCCGAGGCUCAACCUCGGGUCUGCAGUCGAUACGGGCAGGCUAGAGGUAGGUAGGGGAGAAUGGAAUUCCCGGUGUAGCGGUGAAAUGCGCAGAUAUCAGGAGGAACACCGAUGGCGAAGGCAGGUCUCUGGGCAUUAACUGACGCUGAGGAGCGAAAGCAUGGGGAGCGAACAGG
rnacentral:rRNA from 1 species